GCGGCAGGCUUAACACAUGCAAGUCGAACGCUGUAGCAAUACAGAGUGGCAGACGGGUGAGUAACGCGUGGGAACGUGCCUUUCGGUUCGGAAUAACUCAGGGAAACUUGAGCUAAUACCGGAUACGCCCUUCGGGGGAAAGAUUUAUUGCCGAAAGAUCGGCCCGCGUCUGAUUAGCUAGUUGGUGAGGUAACGGCCCACCAAGGCGACGAUCGGUAGCUGGUCUGAGAGGAUGAUCAGCCACACUGGGACUGAGACACGGCCCAGACUCCUACGGGAGGCAGCAGUGGGGAAUAUUGGACAAUGGGCGCAAGCCUGAUCCAGCCAUGCCGCGUGAGUGAUGAAGGCCCUAGGGUUGUAAAGCUCUUUCGCCAGGGACGAUAAUGACGGUACCUGGAUAAGAAGCCCCGGCUAACUUCGUGCCA
rnacentral:rRNA from 1 species